GACGAACGCUGGCGGCGUGCUUAACACAUGCAAGUCGAACGGUAACAGGCCCUUCGGGUGCUGACGAGUGGCGGACGGGUGAGUAAUGCUUAGGAAUCUGCCUAGUAGUGGGGGAUAACCCGGGGAAACUCGGGCUAAUACCGCAUACGCCCUACAGGGGAAAGCGGGGGACUUUCGGGCCUCGCGCUAUUAGAUGAGCCUAAGUCCGAUUAGCCAGUUGGUAGGGUAAUGGCCUACCAAGGCGACGAUCGGAGCUGGUCUGAGAGGACGACCAGCCACACUGGGACUGAGACACGGCCCAGACUCCUACGGGAGGCAGCAGUGGGGAAUAUUGGACAAUGGGCGCAAGCCUGAUCCAGCGAUGCCGCGUGUGUGAAGAAGGCCUGCGGGUUGUAAAGCACUUUCAGUAGGGAAGAAAGCCGAGUGCUAAUAUCACUCGGUCUUG
rnacentral:rRNA from 1 species